UUUAUACCAUAAGGUGAUGGCUAACCUAAGCUAAUCUAAUCUAACCUAUCAAAACCAGAACAAACACUAUAGGUCUUGACUCAGAACAUUCAUAUAUGCUUCCUUACUAAUGAUGAGAUUUUCCGUACAGCAAAGUGAGGUCAUUCUGUGUUGAUUUAUACCAUAAGGUGAUGGCUAACCUAAGCUAAUCUAAUCUAACCUAACAAAACCAAAACAAACACUAUAGGUCUUGACUCAGACAAUUCAUGUAUGCUUCCUUACUAAUGAUGAGAUUUUCCGUACAGCAAAGUGAGGUCAUUCUGUGUUGAUUUAUACCAUAAGGUGAUGGCUAACCUAAGCUAAUCUAAUCUAACCUAUCAAAACCAAAACAAAACACUAUAGGUCUUGACUCAGACAAUUCAUGUAUGCUUCCUUACUAAUGAUGAGACUUUCCGUACAGCAAAGUGAGGUCAUUCUGUGUUGAUUUAUACCUUAAGGUGAUGGCUAACCUAAGCUAAUCUAAUCUAACCUAUCAAAACCAAAACAAACACUAUAGGUCUUGACUCAGAACAUUCAUAUAUGCUUCCUUACUAAUGAUGAGAUUUUCCAUACAGCAAAGUGAGGUCAUUCUGUGUUGAUUUAUACCAUAAGGUGAUGGCUAACCUAAGCUAAUCUAAUCUAACCUAUCAAAACCAAAACAAACACUAUAGGUCUUGACUCAGAACAUUCAUAUAUGCUUCCUUAAUAGUGAGGAGACUUUCCGUACAGCAAAGUGAGGUCAUUCUGUGUUGAUUUAUACCAUAAGGUGAUGGCUAACCUAAGCUAAUCUAAUCUAACCUAACAAAACCAGAACAAACACUAUAGGUCUUGACUCAGAACAUUCAUAUAUGCUUCCUUACUAAUGAGACUUUCCGUACAGCAAAGUGAGGUCAUUCUGUGUUGAUUUAUACCAUAAGGUGAUGGCUAACCUAAGCUAAUCUAAUCUAACCUAUCAAAACCAAAACAAACACUAUAGGUCUUGACUCAGAACAUUCAUAUAUGCUUCCAUGCUAAUGAUGAGAUUUUCCGUACAGCAAAGUGAGGUCAUUCUGUGUUGAUUUAUACCAUAAGGUGAUGGCUAACCUAAGCUAAUCUAAUCUAACCUAUCAAAACCAAAACAAACACUAUAGGUCUUGACUCAGACAAUUCAUAUAUGCUUCCUUAAUAGUGAGGAGAUUUUCCGUACAGCAAAGUGAGGUCAUUCUGUGUUGAUUUAUACCAUAAGGUGAUGGCUAACCUAAGCUAAUCUAAUCUAACCUAUCAAAACCAAAACAAACACUAUAGGUCUU